GACGAACGCUGGCGGGGGGCCUAACACAUGCAAGUCGAACGGAGCGGGGGACGGGUGAGUAAUGCCUAGAAAUCUGCCUGGUCGUGGGGGAUAACGUUCGGAAACGGGCGCUAAUACCGCAUACUCUCAGUUGAGCCUAGGUCGGAUUAGCUAGUUGGUGGGGUAAGGGCCUACCAAGGCCACUAUCCGUAGCUGGGCUGGGAUGAUGAUCAGUCACACUGGAACUGAGACACAGUCCAGACUCCUACGGGAGGCAGCAGUGGGGAAGAUUGGACAAUGGGCGAAAGCCUGAUCCAGCCAUGCCGCGUGUGUGAGGAAGGCCUUCGGAUUGUAAAGCACUUUAAGCUGGGAGGCGUUACCUACAGAAUAAGCACCGGCUAACUGCGUGCCAGCAGCCGCGGUAAUAC
rnacentral:rRNA from 1 species